UACGGGGGGGGCAAGCGUUGUUCGGAAUUACUGGGCGUAAAGGGCUCGUAGGCGGCCAACUAAGUCAGACGUGAAAUCCCUCGGCUUAACCGGGGAACUGCGUCUGAUACUGGAUGGCUUGAGUUUGGGAGAGGGAUGCGGAAUUCCAGGUGUAGCGGUGAAAUGCGUAGAUAUCGAGAGGAACACCUGCGGCGAAGGCGGGUAGCUGGGCCGACACUGACGCUGAGGCGCGAAAGCCAGGGGAGCGAACGGG
rnacentral:rRNA from 1 species